CUUUUACAGGCAUCUCGCACUGCCAGUUGAUAGAUUCCCCAAUCAAAAUCCUCUUCAGCACCUCGAGGAUCGCAGACUGCUCCAACUGCAUCUGUAACUCAAGUACAAGUAAUCAAGGAUUGCAGCACUACUCCAGCGACUCGGAUCGGGCAUGAAGAGGGCGACUGCAGCAGCACCAGACUUCCAGAGCCCUGGGACAGCGGAGCAAGUGACCAAGGCAGUGGUUGUUCCCAUGAGCAGGGCGAUCAAAGCAACCCUCAGGGGCAUUCAAAGGAGUGGCAAAGUCUACCUCGACCAGACAGCCGGUUUCAGGAGACCUGUUUAGAAAGCUAUCCAGCUCUUUAGAUGGGAAUCCCUUUGGGCCCUAUAUUAGCAUCACCAUCAAAGCUGCCAUGUUCCUAAGCUUCUACGGCUUUCUCAGGCCCGGGGAAUUCACCAGUUCCUCACGCAAGAAUAGAGGCUUAACCAAAGGCCAGCUAGCAUGGCACGAGGGGCACUUCGCCCUAUCACUGCCUCCACCAAAACCUCCCAAUCCGGUCCUCCAAUGGUGAUCCGAUACUACCAGACUUUCAAUGACGUGCCCAGUUCAGGUUUUAAACAAGCUUUUGUCAGUACUGGGUGAUGCUCCUUCGGAUAGUCCUUUGCUCCCCUUCAACAACCAUUGUCUCACCUCGUCCCAAUUUAUCUUGCAUAUCAGCACUUUGAUCUCCAGCCUAGGUUUUGACCCGAGUCUCAUUUCUGGACAUUCUUUUCGCAUUGGAGCCGCUUCCUCAGCUUCCCGUCACGGAGUACCCGGGCAUAUCAUCAAGAAGAUGGGUAGGUGGCGUUCCUCUUGCUUUGUGCGUUACAUUCCCAAUCCUCACGUGGAGAUCUCCAAUGCC